GUGGUUUGCUCUCCUGUAUUGGCGCAUUGGAAGAACAGCUCGUGUGUGUGAUUGCUGCUCUCGACAAUUUAGCGAUUAUUUCCGUGCUGAUGACCUGUUGAUCCGAAAACGCGGUGUGCGUGCAACUCCGCGGGGUUUCAGCUACCUAAUGUUCGCUCUUGUGUUCAUACUCGGCUGAGUUGCGAGUGUCCAUUUAUACAGAAUAUACUGCAUUGCAACCCACUUCUGCCUUUAGUGAGACUGUUACGUCCAGUCAUCAAAGUGAGUCAUAGCGCAAUGUUGGAAGGUACGUGAGUAUUUUGUUUGUUUUAAGGUGAAAUAUGGGGGUUUUAUGUGCAAUAAAAAUGUCAAUUGGUUUUAAUUACAGGUUUUAAAUCCUCUCUCGGAUUUAGCGGCCACCGUUUCUUUCCCACUAAAAUUUGAGAUUUAUUUGUUAGUUGUGGUGUUUGCUUUAUAUUUAGUUUAUUGGGUUUUCAUGGUAUUAUAACUUUUGUGAUUUUAUGAUAUUCAUUUUGUUGUGAAUGUUGUUUUAUUGAUUGGUGUACCACGGUAUGGGAGGUCUUAUUUGUGGUUUGUGUGAUUUUGC